rnacentral:rRNA from 1 species
UACAGAGGUCCCGAGCGUUGUUCGGAUUCACUGGGCGUAAAGCGUGCGCAGGCGGUUUUGUAAGCCAGAUGUGAAAUCCCCGGGCUUAACCUGGGAAUGGCAUUUGGGACUGCAAGGCUUGAGUGCGGCAGAGGAGACUGGAAUUCCUGGUGUAGCAGUGAAAUGCGUAGAUAUCAGGAGGAACACCGAUGGCGAAGGCAGGUCUCUGGGCUGACACUGACGCUCAUGCACGAAAGCGUGGGGAGCAAACAGG